UUGUUGCUGGGCAAAACAGUUUAAGGCAAUGUCCUUAUUUUAUUACACAGUACUAUAACCUACUAAUAGUUCCACUAGUUUAUAAUGAAGCCCCUGAAGAUAUUGAAUUUUAAGCCAUAGUGUGUCAUAUGCCUGGGAUUUUAACAGGGUUAAAUGAAAUAUCAUUAAAUUGUUCAUAGGCCAAAAUUCUUGAACAGUGAGGCAACGGCCUGAGGAGGCCAACAAUUGGAGACUGCCUGGGUGUCAAACAUCAAGAGCUCAUAGCUCAGGACGUUUAAUACCCUCCCAGUGCACCCCCACUGAACGAUGCAUCCUUGAGGCCAUUGGUGAGGUGCAGCUGCAACUGCAGCAAUAAACUGGAGAGAGGGGCAGAAAUCUUC